rnacentral:rRNA from 1 species
UACGGGGGGAGCAAGCGUUGUUCGGAUUUACUGGGCGUAAAGGGCGCGUAGGCGGUCAGCACAAGUCAGUUGUGAAAUCUCCGGGCUUAACUCGGAAAGGUCAACUGAUACUGUGCGGCUAGAGUGCGGAAGGGGCAACUGGAAUUCUCGGUGUAGCGGUGAAAUGCGUAGAUAUCGAGAGGAACACCUGCGGCGAAGGCGGGUUGCUGGGCUGACACUGACGCUGAUGCGCGAAAGCCAGGGGAGCAAACGGG